CAGUCGCCGCGGUAAUACGAAGGGUGCAAGCGUUACUCGGAAUUACUGGGCGUAAAGCGUGCGUAGGUGGUGGUUUAAGUCCGUUGUGAAAGCCCUGGGCUCAACCUGGGAAUUGCAGUGGAUACUGGGUCACUAGAGUGUGGUAGAGGAUAGUGGAAUUUCCGGUGUAGCAGUGAAAUGCGUAGAGAUCGGAAGGAACAUCUGUGGCGAAGGCGACUAUCUGGGCCAACACUGACACUGAGGCACGAAAGCGUGGGGAGCAAACAGGAUUAGAUACCCCUGUAGUCCAUGUCUCUUAUAC
rnacentral:rRNA from 1 species